rnacentral:rRNA from 1 species
GUAGGUGGCAAGCGUUGUCCGGAAUUAUUGGGGCGUAAAGCGCGCGCAGGCGGUUCUUUAAGUCUGAUGUGAAAGCCCACGGGCUCAACCGUGGAGGGUCAUUGGAAACUGGAGAACUUGAGUACAGAAGAGGAAAGCGGAAUUCCACGUGUAGCGGUGAAAUGCGUAGAGAUGUGGAGGAACACCAGUGGCGAAGGCGGCUUUCUGGUCUGUAACUGACGCUGAGGCGCGAAAGCGUGGGGAGCAAACAGGAUUAGAUACCCUGGUAGUCCACGCCGUAAGCGAUGAGUGCUAAGUGUUAGGGGGUUUCCGCCCCUUAGUGCUGCAGCUAACGCAUUAAGCACUCCGCCUGGGGAGUACGGCCGCAAGGCUG